rnacentral:rRNA from 1 species
UAACAUUAACUGGUUGGUAAGGUAACGGCUUACCAAGGCUAUGAUGUUUAGGGGUCCUGAGAGGGUGGUCCCCCACACUGGUACUGAGACACGGACCAGACUCCUACGGGAGGCAGCAGUGAGGAAUAUUGGUCAAUGGGCGCAAGCCUGAACCAGCCAUCCCGCGUGCAGGAAGACGGCCCUAUGGGUUGUAAACUGCUUUUCCAGGGAGAGAAACUUACGCACGUGUUGCGUGACUGACGGUACCCUGGGAAUAAGCAUCGGCUAACUCCGUGCCAGCAGCCGCGGUAAUACGGAGGAUGCAAGCGUUAUCCGGAUUCAUUGGGUUUAAAGGGUGCGUAGGCGGGCUAUUAAGUCAGUGGUGAAAUCCUGCAGCUUAACUGCAGAACUGCCGUUGAUACUGAUAGUCUUGAGUUUGGUUAAGGUAGGCGGAAUGUGUAAUGUAGCGGUGAAAUGCUUAGAUAUUACACAGAACACCAAUUGCGUAGGCAGCUUACUGAGCCGACACUGACGCUGAGGCACGAAAGCGUGGGGAUCAAACAGGAUUAGAUACCCUGGUAGUCCACGCCGUAAACGAUGAUUACUCGCUGUUGGCGAUACACUGUCAGCGGCUAAGCAAAAGCAAUAAGUA